rnacentral:lncRNA from 1 species
GUGCGUGCUAGUCCUCGGUGCCACCAUGGCCACAGAGCUUCUGCCUCACCUCGCAUGGGCUAGAAGCACAGCAGAGAUGAGGACACAUUUCCAGCACUUGGCCAGUUGCUACCGCUGUGUCAUAGAAAGAGAAGUGACUGUUUUUAAUUACUGGGAAGGACACAACCUACUUACCAGUAGGAAAUGAAAGCUUCCUUAGACUAAAAUCCUGAAGAAAACAUUGAAUAUGGUAAAAUUGAAUCAUGAUAUAGGAUGACCUUAGACACCGAAUCUUAUGAAGUCUAUGAAAUUACUGCACCGAGCUUCAUAAAGAAUCAUGAAAGCUCUUCGCAGAAUGGAACAAUUUGCUGGGAACUGCUAAGUGAUUGCUGUGUGCUCUGUCUGUGCGAUCUGCAUGCAACUCUUUUAAGAAUGGUGGUGAAACUCC